CAACUACGUGUUGGUUAUGGCAAGAAGUCAGCCGACGCCAUAGUAUUCAACAGUAACGAGCUGCAAUAAGAUAUGCAGAGGACUCACAAGUUGAAGAAGGGC
rnacentral:ncRNA from 1 species